CGCGCAGGCGGCUCUUUAAGUCAGGCGUGAAAGCCCGGGGCUCAACCCCGGAAGUGCGUUUGAAACUAGAGAGCUCGAGUACGGGAGAGGGAAGUGGAAUUCCUGGUGUAGAGGUGAAAUUCGUAGAUAUCAGGAGGAACACCGGUGGCGAAGGCGACUUCCUGGACCGAUACUGACGCUGAGGCGCGAAAGCGUGGGGAGCAAACA
rnacentral:rRNA from 1 species